rnacentral:rRNA from 1 species
UACGGGGGGAGCAAGCGUUGUUCGGAUUUACUGGGCGUAAAGGGCGCGUAGGCGGUCAGCACAAGUCAGUUGUGAAAUCUCCGAGCUUAACUCGGAAAGGUCAACUGAUACUGUGCGACUAGAGUGCGGAAGGGGCAACUGGAAUUCUUGGUGUAGCGGUGAAAUGCGUAGAGAUGUGGAGGAACACCAGUGGCGAAGGCGACUUUCUGGGCUGUAACUGACGCUGAGGCGCGAAAGCGUGGGGAGCAAACAGG